UACGAAGGGGGCUAGCGUUGUUCGGAAUCACUGGGCGUAAAGCGCACGUAGGCGGACUUUCAAGUCAAGGGUGAAAUCCCGGGGCUCAACCUCGGAAUUGCCUUUGAUACUGUAGGUCUCGAGUCCGGAAGAGGUGGGUGGAAUUCCUAGUGUAGAGGUGAAAUUCGUAGAUAUUAGGAAGAACACCGGUGGCGAAGGCGGCCCACUGGUCCGGUACUGACGCUGAGGUGCGAAAGCGUGGGGAGCAAACAGG
rnacentral:rRNA from 1 species